rnacentral:rRNA from 1 species
GCGGAAAGGGCAGCGAUCUAUAUCUCGACGAGGAACCACGCGCAUGUCCGGCCCGUCCCGUCAAGUACCGGACGGUGCGCGCGCCCUUCUUCUAAUUUUUGUGUGCUAGAACCAGAAGAAAGAACCAAGGCGCAGUACCAACAGCUCCCCUUACUGCGGCCCAGGCUUUCUCUCUGCGCGCGUACCGCACGCACACCGCGCAAAGCCUGGUCCGAAGUAAGGGGUACUGAGGUAGUACCAAGUCCAAGUGCCUGAGCCAGCCGUAGCCGGCCACAAGAACACUCGAGGCGGACACGGAGGGAGGCACACCAGACUUCGUGUCGUCUGCUGGGGGGCGUUGAUCGCUUCCAUUGUCACGUUCAUCUAUAACAGAAGAUUACCUAACACUCUAGUUAUGAAGAGACGGUACCGACGACGUCAUCUGAACGAGACCAGACCUGUAACUCGCUCGGCCGACUGGCCGGCUGCGUGCCUGUACGUACCUCCGACACGUUUCAUUUCGAACGAACGAGACGUUGAGUUGACUCGUAGCUACGUCGAAGUCGCUAUGUACUGUUGGUGGGUGAUGGUCGAUGUAUAGGAGAAUAGAGGAACCGAUUAAAGUCCGACUACUACUAACCUUAUCCCUUCCUAUAGAAGUUCUACGCCACGCGCGUACCGUCUACCCAGCUGUAUUUAGUUGAGGUCUCGUUGAUACGAAUGUCAAUGUCGUUUCGUUUCUCUCCUUGGUGUCAAACUAGUCCAUCAGGUUCUGGUGGUUUUCGAUAGUCGGACAGAAGUCUUACAUUCGACCUAGGACGUUACAGUCUCGGACGUACGACGUUCACAGUCUAAAUCCACGUUUGUAAGUCGUAGUUCCGUUGACGUUAGUGUUCAAACAUUGUGGUGCAUUACCGACGCCGUGGCAAUUUAAUUGAGGUCUACGACGAAACUAAAGUAAAGUAAAACAAAGUAGUGACUACCGAGACCCCACGUAGCUUACAGUUAAAGUCAAUAAGUGUCGGUUUUCCCUUUGUUCGUGAAUUUUAUGUCUGUGUACUGUUGUAGUCGUGCGCGACAUGACAAAGGCUGUUGUAUCCCUACUCAACGAACGGCGUCACGUCCAAUGGUGAACAACCUUGUUCGAAGAAGUAGAGUGUGACCAAUGGGGAAGAUCAUGUUGUUUUACAUUGUACGUUUUGUCUAAGUCUCCUUACACAAUUCGAACCGUAAGGGGAAGAUGUUAUUUAAGAUUGUGCGUUUUGUUGUUAUUAAUUUUUAUUCAUUUGUUUUAUAGGCAUGUAAAAAAUUUUUAGUAACAUGAAAGUGUUUUGGCAA